GACGAACGCUGGCGGCGUGCCUAAUACAUGCAAGUUGAGCGCUGAAGGUUGGUACUUGUACCAACUGGAUGAGCAGCGAACGGGUGAGUAACGCGUGGGGAAUCUGCCUUUGAGCGGGGGACAACAUUUGGAAGCGAAUGCUAAUACCGCAUAAAAACUUUAAACACAAGUUUUAAGUUUGAAAGAUGCAAUUGCAUCACUCAAAGAUGAUCCCGCGUUGUAUUAGCUAGUUGGUGAGGUAAAGGCUCACCAAGGCGAUGAUACAUAGCCGACCUGAGAGGGUGAUCGGCCACAUUGGGACUGAGACACGGCCCAAACUCCUACGGGAGGCAGCAGUAGGGAAUCUUCGGCAAUGGACGAAAGUCUGACCGAGCAACGCCGCGUGAGUGAAGAAGGUUUUCGGAUCGUAAUACUCUGUUGGUAGAGAAGAACGUUGGUGAGAGUGGAAAGCUCAUCAAGUGACGGUAACUACCCAGAAAGGGACGGCUAACUACGUG
rnacentral:rRNA from 1 species